AGGAACUUUUUAGGACGGUGGCCAUGGAAGUCGGAACCCGCUAAGGAGUGUGUAACAACUCACCUGCCGAAGCAACUAGCCCCGAAAAUGGAUGGCGCUCUA
rnacentral:rRNA from 1 species